GUGAACUACCGCUGAGCUAAAGACGCAGCGGCUUCUUCGGAAGUCACUGAAGAUUUGGUUCAGUAGCUUCUUCGGAAGUCUGAGUUCACCAGACUCAGCCCCAGAAAUGGGCGCUACGUUCGAUAGGUCAUGACACCUGCGGUUGACGCAUCAGACCGCUGCUCUGUC
rnacentral:sRNA from 21 species